rnacentral:tRNA from 1 species
GCCUGGGUGGCUCAGUCAGUUAAGCAUCUGACUUCAGCUCAGGUCAUGAUCUCACGGUUCAUGGGUUCGAGCCCCACGUCGGGCU